rnacentral:rRNA from 1 species
AAAUUGAAGAGUUUGAUCAUGGCUCAGAUUGAACGCUGGCGGCAGGCCUAACACAUGCAAGUCGAACGGUAACAGAAAGCAGCUUGCUGCUUUGCUGACGAGUGGCGGACGGGUGAGUAAUGUCUGGGAAACUGCCUGAUGGAGGGGGAUAACUACUGGAAACGGUGGCUAAUACCGCAUAACGUCGCAAGACCAAAGAGGGGGACCUUCGGGCCUCUUGCCAUCAGAUGUGCCCAGAUGGGAUUAGCUGGUUGGUGAGGUAACGGCUCACCAAGGCGACGAUCCCUAGCUGGUCUGAGAGGAUGACCAGCCACACUGGAACUGAGACACGGUCCAGACUCCUACGGGAGGCAGCAGUGGGGAAUAUUGCACAAUGGGCGCAAGCCUGAUGCAGCCAUGCCGCGUGUAUGAAGAAGGCCUUCGGGUUGUAAAGUACUUUCAGCGGGGAGGAAGGUGUUGUGGUUAAUAACCGCAGCAAUUGACGUUACCCGCAGAAGAAGCACCGGCUAACUCCGUGCCAGCAGCCGCGGUAAUACGGAGGGUGCAAGCGUUAAUCGGAAUUACUGGGCGUAAAGCGCACGCAGGCGGUCUGUCAAGUCGGAUGUGAAAUCCCCGGGCUCAACCUGGGAACUGCAUUCGAAACUGGCAGGCUUGAGUCUUGUAGAGGGGGGUAGAAUUCCAGGUGUAGCGGUGAAAUGCGUAGAGAUCUGGAGGAAUACCGGUGGCGAAGGCGGCCCCCUGGACAAAGACUGACGCUCAGGUGCGAAAGCGUGGGGAGCAAACAGGAUUAGAUACCCUGGUAGUCCACGCCGUAAACGAUGUCUACUUGGAGGUUGUGCCCUUGAGGCGUGGCUUCCGGAGCUAACGCGUUAAGUAGACCGCCUGGGGAGUACGGCCGCAAGGUUAAAACUCAAAUGAAUUGACGGGGGCCCGCACAAGCGGUGGAGCAUGUGGUUUAAUUCGAUGCAACGCGAAGAACCUUACCUGGUCUUGACAUCCACGGAAGUUUUCAGAGAUGAGAAUGUGCCUUCGGGAACCGUGAGACAGGUGCUGCAUGGCUGUCGUCAGCUCGUGUUGUGAAAUGUUGGGUUAAGUCCCGCAACGAGCGCAACCC